GAUGAACGCUGGUGGCGUGCCUAAUACAUGCAAGUCGAGCGAACAGACGAGGAGCUUGCUCCUCUGACGUUAGCGGCGGACGGGUGAGUAACACGUGGAUAACCUACAUAUAAGACUGGGAUAACUUCGGGAAACCGGAGCUAAUACCGGAUAAUAUAUUGAACCGCAUGGUUCAAUAGUGAAAGACGGUUUUGCUGUCACUUAUAGAUGGAUCCGCGCCGCAUUAGCUAGUUGGUAAGGUAACGGCUUACCAAGGCGACGAUGCGUAGCCGACCUGAGAGGGUGAUCGGCCACACUGGAACUGAGACACGGUCCAGACUCCUACGGGAGGCAGCAGUAGGGAAUCUUCCGCAAUGGGCGAAAGCCUGACGGAGCAACGCCGCGUGAGUGAUGAAGGUCUUCGGAUCGUAAAACUCUGUUAUUAGGGAAGAACAAAUGUGUAAGUAACUAUGCACGUCUUGACGGUACCUAAUCAGAAAGCCACGGCUAACUACGUG
rnacentral:rRNA from 1 species